GCUCGUAGCCCAGCCUACCUCCCGCGGCUAUAUACUUACAUUCAUGUUACUCGUAUUUCUUAUGUCUUCAACAACCUCGAGCAGCUGUGAGAAAAGCAAGUUCUGGAAGGACCGAGAGCGAGCUUCCAGUUUUUGCUCAGUCAUCAGCGACAAAAGUGUUCGAGAACGAAGAGAGAGCACUAAUUUGUGAACAUGAGCUUCUUCUUUGAGCUGUGCGAGGAAACACCCACAAAAGAGCCCUGACAACCGAGAAGCAGGAGGGAGAAGGAUGAAGGCUCACAAUGGGAGAUCAACAUCUCUGCAUCCGCAAAGCCUCACAGACCCUUUCCAGUGGUCCCCUUAAUCUAUUAUUCAAUCCCUUCAGGUACUGGAAAAGUUGUUGGUUUUCAAACCGACGUCAAUCGGCAGGAUAACGUGAAACCGGACACAACAGGUGGUGCAAGACUGUAUGGUAAAGAAAACUGCUGGUGUAGUUAUUAUCAUACUUAUUUAAAAUAAUAAUAAUAAUAAUAAUUUGAGGUUAUGAUUACAUGCAUUUCAUAGAAUUGAUUUAUAACAAAAUAUAUUUUUGCCAUGAUUCAAUGUCACUGAUCUAUCUAAAAGAUUUAAGAUGCAACUAGUAUACAAACAUAUUUCAUGGCUUAUAUACUGUAGUGUUGUGGGCCCGAGUCCCCAGCGAACUCUGUCAGUGGUGGAAUGCGGUUAAUCUUCUCAAGAACUAGAGGUUUUGAGGUACUUUUCUUUAUGGAUUUUGGUUUCUUUGCAUCUAAACACUACUUACUGGUGUUUCUGCAUGGUAAUAAUUCACAUGUAAAAUAAAAAAUCUCAUUUUUACAGAUUAAAUUAUCCCAACAAUGUAUACAGUAGGUCAAAUGAACUGCAUAUCUAGGCCUGUCUUAGCAUUCAAUUGCUAAUUUAUGGAGUGGUAGUAAUAAUAAAUAUAUUAUAUAUAGACACACUGGCAGUAGUUCAUUCUACUUAAUUUAUUAAUUUGCAUUUUCUUAAUAAAACUUUUGCACCGUAA